rnacentral:rRNA from 2 species
AAAUUGAAGAGUUUGAUCAUGGCUCAGAUUGAACGCUGGCGGCAGGCCUAACACAUGCAAGUCGAACGGUAACAGGAAGCAGCUUGCUGCUUUGCUGACGAGUGGCGGACGGGUGAGUAAUGUCUGGGAAACUGCCUGAUGGAGGGGGAUAACUACUGGAAACGGUAGCUAAUACCGCAUAACGUCGCAAGACCAAAGAGGGGGACCUUCGGGCCUCUUGCCAUCGGAUGUGCCCAGAUGGGAUUAGCUAGUAGGUGGGGUAAAGGCUCACCUAGGCGACGAUCCCUAGCUGGUCUGAGAGGAUGACCAGCCACACUGGAACUGAGACACGGUCCAGACUCCUACGGGAGGCAGCAGUGGGGAAUAUUGCACAAUGGGCGCAAGCCUGAUGCAGCCAUGCCGCGUGUAUGAAGAAGGCCUUCGGGUUGUAAAGUACUUUCAGCGGGGAGGAAGGGAGUAAAGUUAAUACCUUUGCUCAUUGACGUUACCCGCAGAAGAAGCACCGGCUAACUCCGUGCCAGCAGCCGCGGUAAUACGGAGGGUGCAAGCGUUAAUCGGAAUUACUGGGCGUAAAGCGCACGCAGGCGGUUUGUUAAGUCAGAUGUGAAAUCCCCGGGCUCAACCUGGGAACUGCAUCUGAUACUGGCAAGCUUGAGUCUCGUAGAGGGGGGUAGAAUUCCAGGUGUAGCGGUGAAAUGCGUAGAGAUCUGGAGGAAUACCGGUGGCGAAGGCGGCCCCCUGGACGAAGACUGACGCUCAGGUGCGAAAGCGUGGGGAGCAAACAGGAUUAGAUACCCUGGUAGUCCACGCCGUAAACGAUGUCGACUUGGAGGUUGUGCCCUUGAGGCGUGGCUUCCGGAGCUAACGCGUUAAGUCGACCGCCUGGGGAGUACGGCCGCAAGGUUAAAACUCAAAUGAAUUGACGGGGGCCCGCACAAGCGGUGGAGCAUGUGGUUUAAUUCGAUGCAACGCGAAGAACCUUACCUGGUCUUGACAUCCACGGAAGUUUUCAGAGAUGAGAAUGUGCCUUCGGGAACCGUGAGACAGGUGCUGCAUGGCUGUCGUCAGCUCGUGUUGUGAAAUGUUGGGUUAAGUCCCGCAACGAGCGCAACCCUUAUCCUUUGUUGCCAGCGGUCCGGCCGGGAACUCGAAGGAGACUGCCAGUGAUAAACUGGAGGAAGGUGGGGAUGACGUCAAGUCAUCAUGGCCCUUACGACCAGGGCUACACACGUGCUACAAUGGCGCAUACAAAGAGAAGCGACCUCGCGAGAGCAAGCGGACCUCAUAAAGUGCGUCGUAGUCCGGAUUGGAGUCUGCAACUCGACUCCAUGAAGUCGGAAUCGCUAGUAAUCGUGGAUCAGAAUGCCACGGUGAAUACGUUCCCGGGCCUUGUACACACCGCCCGUCACACCAUGGGAGUGGGUUGCAAAAGAAGUAGGUAGCUUAACCUUCGGGAGGGCGCUUACCACUUUGUGAUUCAUGACUGGGGUGAAGUCGUAACAAGGUAACCGUAGGGGAACCUGCGGUUGGAUCACCUCCUUA